UACGAAGGGAGCGAGCGUUGUUCGGAUUUACUGGGCGUAAAGCGUGUGUAGGUGGUUUUUCAAGUCAGAAGUGAAAUCCCAGGGCUCAACCCUGGAAUUGCUUUUGAAACUGGAUCACUAGAAUCUGGGAGAGGCAAGCGGAAUUCCGAGUGUAGAGGUGAAAUUCGUAGAUAUUCGGAGGAACACCAAUGGCGAAGGCAGCUUGCUGGAACAGUAUUGACACUGAGACACGAAAGCGUGGGGAGCAAACAGG
rnacentral:rRNA from 1 species